AAAAUCCGUCGACUUUUAAAAUCGUGAGGGUUCAAGUCCCUCUAUCCCCAAAAAGGACUAUUUUACUCCCAA
rnacentral:tRNA from 1 species